rnacentral:rRNA from 1 species
ACACGACUACAUUAGAAUACCCCGGUAGUCCCAGCCCUAAACGAUGCGCGUUAGGUGUAUCGGUGACCACGAGUCACCGAGGUGCCGAAGGGAAACCGUGAAACGUGCCGCCUGGGAAGUACGGUCGCAAGGCUGAAACUUAAAGGAAUUGGCGGGGAGCACCACAACGGGUGGAGCCUGCGGUUUAAUUGGACUCAACGCCGGGAAGCUCACCGGAUAAGACAGCGGAAUGAUUGCCGGGCUGAAGACCCUGCAUGACCAGCUG